rnacentral:rRNA from 1 species
UACGGAGGGUGCAAGCGUUAUCCGGAUUCACUGGGUUUAAAGGGCGCGUAGGCGGUUUGGUAAGUCCGUGGUGAAAUCCCCAAGCUUAACUUGGGAAUUGCCGUGGAUACUAUCAAUCUUGAAUAUCGUGGAGGUAAGCGGAAUAUGUCAUGUAGCGGUGAAAUGCUUAGAUAUGACAUAGAACACCAAUUGCGUAGGCAGCUUACUACACGAUCAUUGACGCUGAGGCACGAAAGCGUGGGGAGCAAACAGG